UACAGAGGGUGCGAGCGUUGUUCGGAUUUAUUGGGCGUAAAGGGCGCGUAGGCGGCCACGCACGUCCGUUGUGAAAUCGCCCGGCUCAACUGGGCGGGGUCAGCGGAUACGGUGUGGCUCGAGCAAGCUAGGGGGCAAUGGAAUUCCCGGUGUAGUGGUGGAAUGCGUAGAUAUCGGGAGGAACACCAGUGGCGAAGGCGGUUGCCUGGAGCUUUGCUGACGCUGAGGCGCGAAAGCGUGGGGAGCGAUCCGG
rnacentral:rRNA from 1 species